rnacentral:rRNA from 1 species
GUUGAACGCUGGCGGCGUGCUUAACACAUGCAAGUCGAACGAAGUGUUUAUUCAAAGUUCUUCGGGAUAGAGAAUAAAUUACUUAGUGGCGGACGGGUGAGUAACGCGUGGGUAACCUGCCUCACACAGGGGGAUAACAGGUGGAAACGACUGCUAAUACCGCAUAAGAACACAGCACCCCAUGGUGCAGGGGUAAAAGAUUUAACGGUGAGAGAUGGACCUUCGACUGAUUAGAUAGUUGGCGGAGUAGAAGCCUACCAAGUCAAUGAUCAGUACCCGAGCUGAGAGAGUGAUCGGCCACAUUGGGGCUGCGCCACAGCCCACACUACUGCGCGAGGCAGCAGUGGGGAAUAUUGGACAGUCGGGGGAACCCUGAUCCAGCAACGCCGCGUAAGUGAUGAAGUCUUUCGGUAUGUAAAGCUCUAUAAGCAUGGAAGAAAAUGACGGUACCUGACUAAGAAGCCCCGGCUAACUACGUG